UACGUAGGGGGCAAGCGUUGUCCGGAAUCAUUGGGCGUAAAGCGCGUGUAGGCGGUUUGGUAAGUCGGAUGUGAAAGCCCCGGGCUCAACCCGGGAAGUGCACUCGAUACUGCCAAGCUAGAGUAUCGGAGAGGUUGGUGGAAUUCUCGGUGUAGAGGUGAAAUUCGUAGAUAUCGAGAGGAACACCGGUGGCGAAGGCGGCCAACUGGACGAAUACUGACGCUGAGACUCGAAAGCGUGGGGAGCAAACAGG
rnacentral:rRNA from 1 species